UACGUAGGGCGCAAGCGUUGUCCGGAUUUAUUGGGCGUAAAGAGCGUGUAGGCGGCCAAACAGGUCAGCUGUGAAAACUCGAGGCUCAACCUCGAGACGUCGGUUGAAACCGUUUGGCUAGAGUCCGGAAGAGGAGAGUGGAAUUCCCGGUGUAGCGGUGAAAUGCGCAGAUAUCGGGAAGAACACCCGUGGCGAAGGCGGCUCUCUGGGACGGUACUGACGCUGAGACGCGAAAGCGUGGGGAGCGAACAGG
rnacentral:rRNA from 1 species